rnacentral:ncRNA from 1 species
UUUGCGAUGGCGCAGGACGCGCCAUCCGUGCGGUCGCCGCCCGGGAGGCGGCUGCACAGCGGGGGCAACGUGGAGCCCCCGGCACGCCGCGGCGGCCAGGGACGGCCGCCGCGGGC